rnacentral:lncRNA from 1 species
ACUUACGGUUCGGGCGGUGGGCGAGAGCGAUCCGUUGGGGAGCCAGCAGCCCGGGCCACCGUCCGCGCCGCCCGCAAGCCCGACCCGCCUCGCCUCGCUCGCCUUCCAGCCCCGCUCUCCCGGCCCUGGAACCGGCUGGAGCCACCCGCCAGCCCGAGGGGCUCUUCCUACCUCGGAAUCGGAGGAGCUGUUUUGAUUCGUCUCUGAUUCAUUGACCAGCGAGGACUUGACAUCGGCUAAAUCCCUUUCCGCCGAGGAGUUUUCCGAGUUCUUCUCCUCCUGCUCGCCUUCGUCUUUGAAGGAGAUCAGCUCGUCGUUAGCGCCUAGGUCAUCUCCUCCACCGCCGUUCAGCUGCGGCAUUUUUCACCCACCAGCAGCAGCAAUUUUGGAAGAAAAAUGAAGGAGGAAAAAAAGCAAAAAAAAAAAAAAAAAAAAAAAAAAAGUUUUGCGAGUCCCCCCCAAAAAAAUACUGCAAGAAAAAGACGAGUCCAAGAUAACCAAUGAGAAGUGGACUGGGACGUCCAACGGGCAAGAGGAAGCAAAGAAAAAAGAAAUCAGAAAGAAUGAGUCAGUGGGGACUGGCAACUGCCAUUAGGUGUGAUGUUAUCCUGAGGUCCACCACGUAUUAAAUUAACCCACCCUCCCCUUUAAUAAGCUCAUCUGUUGUAGAUUUCCAAAAGUAACCAAUUUACUGUGUAAUAUUUAGAGAAUUUGGGGUUUCAACAAAACUGUUCUACAGGCUAAGGCCUCAGAAAGAAGACAACGGAAAACAACGAUCCUGAGAUUCACAAGGCUAACGAAUUCCCCUGCACUGGGAAAAAAAAAAAUCCCAAGCACAUUUGCACACUAAAGGGAAAGAUGCAGACAAAAUAAGGAUGGGGUGGGCGAGGCGGGUGAGAAUCACAGUCCCACCUCCCAACUUUCAUAUUCAUCAGAAAACCAGAAGUGGAGGGAGAGAGAAAGAGCCUGGAAAAAAAAAAAAAAGCAAAACAAAUGUGUACAUUUCAUCGGACGGCUUGCAUGGGACACAAAGCAGAGGGCUAAUUAGUCUCAGCAGGUAGGACUAACCUUCAGACUUCAUAAAUAAAUAAGACAGCGCAGUAUCUAAGAGGGAGAGCAGAGACAGAAAGGGGAAUAUUUCAAGACACCAAGUAAAAACACGAAGCAUGAAAUGCAGCCCAGUCUUGAAUCAGUGCACAAACGACUGAGCUGUCCCCUUCCUGGGCCUCCCCUGGAUGCCUUUAGAUUACUACACAUCUAGCCCGACAUCUAGCUGUUUAGCUAGGUAUGUAAUCAAGCUGGCAGCUUUACACACUUGCUAAUUGCCACCUGAAUACAUCUUGUACCCAAGCUGGUCUCUGCACAAUAUAGACUAUGCCAAGGCCUGUUUCAGGGGCUUGUUGACAUAAAUGAGAGCCCUUUCAUAGUAACUGUUUUAUAACCAAUUCUUUGUCCUGCAGGAUGGGUUUGGAUUCUGUUUGUAUUUUACUUUAACCCUGAUCUUCAUCAAGUUGAAUAAUAGGGUCUUCUGUGUUCCUUAGGGGUCUGGUUGUGCAAUAAAAACUUAUGAAUAUACUAA